rnacentral:rRNA from 1 species
UACAGAGGUCCCAAGCGUUGUUCGGAUUCAUUGGGCGUAAAGGGCGUGUAGGCGGCGCGCUAAGUCGGGUGUGAAAUUUCGGAGCUUAACUCCGAAACUGCAUUCGAUACUGGCGUGCUUGAGGACUGGAGAGGAGACUGGAAUUCAUGGUGUAGCAGUGAAAUGCGUAGAGAUCAUGAGGAAGACCAGUGGCGAAGGCGGGUCUCUGGACAGUUCCUGACACUGAGGCACGAAGGCCAGGGGAGCAAACGGG